rnacentral:rRNA from 1 species
GAGGUAGCCAACACUGUAUUAUAUUUUAAUUGGGGUAGCCCCCAAAAUAUUGGGACAUAUAAAAAAAAGACAACUCUGUUCCGCAGAGUAGUUGUUGACAUUAUAGUUGCGCAGGCACUUUGUUGACUCUAGAGAACCUAUGGCCAAUCGCACAUUCCCGUGGCGGCGACUUUGCAUGCGGAUGUCAUCCAUAUCAACUUUUGAUGCCAGUUUCUGCGCCUACCAUAGUGACCACGGGUAACGGGGAAUCAGGGUUCCUUUCCGUACAGGGACACUGAGAAACGGCAAGGGAGGCAGCAGGCGCGCAAAUUAUCCACUCCCGACGCGGGAAGGUAG